rnacentral:tRNA from 1 species
GAGGGUAGAGCUCAGUUGUAGAGCACAUGUUUAGCAUGCACGAGGUCCUGGGUUCAAUCCCCAGCACCACCA